rnacentral:rRNA from 1 species
CUCUUCUUGAAUAUAAUUUGAUGUAUGGCCUGCCCACUGAAUAUUAAAGGGCCGCGGUAUUUUGACCGUGCAAAGGUAGCAUAAUCAUUAGUCUUUUAAUUGUGGACUGGAAUGAAUGGUUUGACGAGGUGUUAACUGUCUUUAAUUUUUUUUAUUGAAUUUAAAUUUUAGGUUAAAAUGCCUAAAUGUUUUUUUGGGACGAGAAGACCCUAUAGAGUUUUAUAUAUUUUUAAUUUUUUUGUAUGAUAAAUUUUAAUUUAAAAAUUUAUUUUGUUGGGGUGAUGAGAAGAUUGAAUUAACUCUUUUUUAUUUUUUAUAUUUAUUCAUAUGUAUUUGAUCCAUUUUUAUUGAUUAUAAGACUAAAUUACC